GUCAGAGGCGAUGAAGGGCGUGCUAAUCUGCGAUAAGCGCCGGUAAGGUGAUAUGAACCGUUAUAACCGGCGAUACCCGAAUGGGGAAACCCAGUGUGAUUCGUCACACUAUCAUUAACUGAAUCCAUAGGUUAAUGAGGCGAACCGGGGGAACUGAAACAUCUAAGUACCCCGAGGAAAAGAAAUCAACCGAGAUUCCCCCAGUAGCGGCGAGCGAACGGGGAGGAGCCCAGAGCCUGAAUCAGCAUGUGUGUUAGUGGAAGCGUCUGGAAAGGCGCGCGAUACAGGGUGACAGCCCCGUACACAAAAGCGCAUGUGCUGUGAGCUCGAUGAGUAGGGCGGGACACGUGGUAUCCUGUCUGAAUAUGGGGGGACCAUCCUCCAAGGCUAAAUACUCCUGACUGACCGAUAGUGAACCAGUACCGUGAGGGAAAGGCGAAAAGAACCCCGGCGAGGGGAGUGAAAAAGAACCUGAAACCGUGUACGUACAAGCAGUGGGAGCACAGGUUUACCUGUGUGACUGCGUACCUUUUGUAUAAUGGGUCAGCGACUUAUAUUCUGUAGCAAGGUUAACCG
rnacentral:rRNA from 1 species